GGCAGGGCUCUCCGAUGAAGACAUAUUUGCUGGAAAGGUGACUGAUAAGUGGAGAAUCUUUAUGAAGAAGCAAAUCCAGAGGGCAAGGAAAUUCUUUGAUGAGGCAGAGAAAGGUGUCACAGAACUGAGUUCUGCUAGUAGAUGGCCGGUGUUGGCAUCGUUGCUGUUAUAUCGCAAGAUACUGGACGAGAUUGAAGCAAACGACUACAACAACUUCACAAGGAGGGCUUAUGUGAGCAAGCCAAAGAAGCUUCUGACGUUGCCCAUUGCUUAUGCAAGAUCUCUAGUGCCCCCUAAGUCAACUUCUUCCCCAC
rnacentral:misc_RNA from 1 species